rnacentral:rRNA from 1 species
UGGGGAAUAUUGGACAAUGGGCGAAAGCCUGAUCCAGCAAUGCCGCGUGAGUGAUGAAGGCCUUAGGGUUGUAAAGCUCUUUUACCCGGGAUGAUAAUGACAGUACCGGGAGAAUAAGCCCCGGCUAACUUCGUGCCAGCAGCCGCGGUAAUACGAGGGGAGCUAGCGUUGUUCGGAAUUACUGGGCGUAAAGCGCGCGUAGGCGGUUUUUUAAGUCAGAGGUGAAAGCCCGGGGCUCAACCCCGGAAUAGCCUUUGAAACUGGAAAACUAGAAUCUUGGAGAGGUCAGUGGAAUUCCGAGUGUAGAGGUGAAAUUCGUAGAUAUUCGGAAGAACACCAGUGGCGAAGGCGACUGACUGGACAAGUAUUGACGCUGAGGUGCGAAAGCGUGGGGAGCAAACAG